rnacentral:rRNA from 1 species
ACGGGAGGCAGCAGUGGGGAAUAUUGCACAAUGGGGGAAACCCUGAUGCAGCGACGCCGCGUGAGUGAAGAAGUUAUUCGUAAUGUAAAGCUCUAUCAGCAGGGAAGAAAAUGACGGUACCUGACUAAGAAGCCCCGGCUAACUACGUGCCAGCAGCCGCGGUAAUACGUAGGGGGCAAGCGUUAUCCGGAUUUACUGGGUGUAAAGGGCGUGUAGGCGGGACAGCAAGUCAGAUGUGAAAGCACGAGGCUCAACUUCGUGUCUGCAUUUGAAACUGCUGUUCUUGAGUGCUGGAGAGGCUAACGGAACUCCUAGUGUAGCGGUGAAAUGCGUAGAUAUUAGGAAGAACGCCAGUGGCGAAGGCGGUUAGCUGGACAGUAACUGACGUUGAGGCUCGAAAGCGUGGGGAGCAAACAGGAUUAGAUACCCUGGUA